rnacentral:rRNA from 1 species
AUACGGAGGGGGCUAGCGUUGUCCGGAUUUACUGGGCGUAAAGGGUGCGUAGGCGGCGCGGUAAGUCUCAUGUGAAAUCUCCCGGCUUAACUGGGAGGGGUCAUGGGAAACUGCCAUGCUCGAGGGCAGCAGAGGAGAGCGGAAUUCCGGGAGUAGCGGUGAUAUGCGUAGAUACCCGGAGGAACACCCGUGGCGAAAGCGGCUCUCUGGGCUGUACCUGACGCUAAGGCACGAAAGCGUGGGGAGCAAACCGGAUUAGAAACCCGAGUAGUCC